GCCUUCAUGGUGUAAAGGUCAGUACGCUGGGAGCGUAUACUAGAGGUCCAUGGUUCGAGUCCUGGCGAAGGCG
rnacentral:tRNA from 1 species